UGCGGAUCACGGUUAAAAGGUGGCCUCCUCCUCUUCCGCAGUCGGGUCACGUGACUGCGACAUUAAUCACCGAGGGAGGAGGAACCGGUGACGUCACCAGUGACCAGUGACAGAUAUAAAAACAUGACGCUGUCCGCAAACAAAACCAUUUUUCGGCUCAAGUUUCCAACUUCGAAAGCGUCCGAGAUACCACCCGAGUAAAUGGACGGCUGCCACGCGCGGUUGAAUGCAGGGUAAUCGACAACAGCUCCUCAUCCAUAGAACGCGCACUUGGAGAUCCCUUGUUUAGAUAUCCACCAAGAUACAUCAAUAUAUCUAAAAGGAAGCACGGAGCAGACAUCAACACUUUUCCUGUUAAUACGAAGCCGUCAUACUCAGCGAAGCACGGCACGACAUUCCCACACGACAGACGCGCGAACUUUCGUGCUUAGAAUACAGAUCAGACAGUACUUUGUUUUGAACUUGCAAAGCCCGCGAAUUGUUUGGUUCGAAGUCACACGACUCCUUUAUCACACAAAGCAAUGGAUAUGAAACCACAGAACGUGGUAGCGGUAAUAUGCAUCGCAGUUAGUCUAGCGGCAGUCGUGCAGGCCAGCCGAUACGGCAGCUUCGGAGAAGAAACAUGUCAGCCCAAUGAAUUCUGCCUCGGCCGUCGCUACAGAAACAGAGUCCAGACUUGCGCAUGCCCAGACGAAGUCCACGAAAUCGACGGCCUUUUAGUAUCCAUUCCCACGCAUUGCCAGUACGACUACCGUAAACGUCACUUCCUGUGCAGGCCAAAGGUCAAUUACGAAGGUACUGACGAGCAUGGUCGGUAGGAAUCAUAUGGACGCCCUGGAAGCUUCAUCUCCAGACUUUUCAACGAAUUCACCAACAAGAGGCGAUAAUGUCAAAGAGUUCUCCAUACCUACGGGGUAUCCUUAUGGACUUGAUCGAUUUUUUUUAAUGGACUGUAUAGUUAAUCAUCGUCAACACACAGCGUAAUUGAGCCACUCGGCUAUUUGUACAUGGACCACACUUAAAGACUGAACGAGCCUAUCCAAAGUGGCCUCUAAAUAGCAGCAGCCGUGAGACUGCGGUUACUGGAUAUGAAUGGACCGUCAACUUUGAGCCAGCCGACCACCAGCUUGAGUGCUGCAGAGGAAGUAGUUACUUUAUUUACCCAUAAUGCCCAAACUCAGACUUUCUUUGAAAACCCACUAAGGAUUUGCAGACGAGCGUAAAAUUAAUUGGAUUUUGAAAUAAAUUUCAUUCUUUAUAACUCGUCAAUUACAGCAAUAUCGACUGACAGCAAUCGCAAGUACAGUGUAAUAGGGAGAAAUGUGUUCGUAUGAGUUGAAUUGUUAUACAUGUAUUAGCAACUUAUAAAACAAUCUCAUCCGUUGCCCUUUGCAGUAAUGGUAAUGGACACAUCAUGUUUCGCACACGCGUGCUGAGCCUUGUGCGCGAAAUCUAUUUCAACAACCUGAACGUGCAUAACCCUCUGAGCUGUCCAGCAACAGCCGAGCGCAUCCAAGCAAGGAAACGCAGCAUUAAUGACAACACCCUUCGGUGUCAAGUAAGAGAGUUUGCCAAACAUGAACAUGUUUGAUUCAAGUACAUUCACAAACCCUUUAACUGGCCUGUUGGCUCCGGGAUUUAAAAAAAAAUUCAACAUCGUAUCACACUCUUGCGCAAGCAGUAAGCGCACACAAAACAUUUUUUGGUAGGACCAUGUCUGAAUUACUUGGCUGCGGCUUAAAGAUCACGCACGAAAAUGUUGCAGGUAAAGCCACUUCGAGUAGAGUUUUGCCCAGUUUCACGCGGCUGAGUAAUUCGGACACGGCUUCAGCUUGUGACUCGCCGAAAUGCACGCAAUCAUCGAGCCAAGAACGUGCUGAAAGCUAGUAUGACUGCGGUGAUGACACCAUUGUAUGGGCCUCGAGCUGGACCAAGAGAGGGCGCUAUUUUCUUAGCAUUGGAUGCUCCUUUGGUCGGGAUUUGACUUAGCUGGGUCGUGAACGAAUAGAAAAUACACGCGUUACAGUUGCAUUACUACCAACAAACUGAGCACUCUCUAUCAACGAGGCUCUUUUCAACCGAUGAGGGAUGCUUCGGCUCAAGGCGGCUAGGCUGGUUUAUACUCCAUACUAAAGUGGAAGCGAGGCGAAUUUGACGUCAGCAAACACUUUCAGCCAAAUUCGCUUGAGCUAAGAUCUCAACUUUUGCAACUUUGCAAAACGAAAAUAUCUGAGGUCACAAUUUCGCUCACCAGUUCUUUUUUGAGUCAACAUAAACCGGUCUUGAUUGUAUCUAUUUGGAGAAGACCACUCUCUGACACCGUUGUAAUAAUCUUUGGAUUUUCUUUUAGUGUUUUGUGGUGUGUUUGCAAUUUAUCAAUCGUCGCAAACCACUCUUAGUUUAAUGGAACCAUUGCCAUAAAACUAUAUUGAUUAUUAAAAAUUAAUUGAUAUAGACAUGUGAGAUAGACAAAUUCUGGAAUGUCAUUCAAUUAGAUCCAAUGCUAGUUGGAGUAAUGGUGUAUAAAGCCAACUGUAGUAUUUAUUAUGUCAAGUAUUUUCUUUUCAAACAUUUUAAUAUUUGCCUUGUGUAAUCGUCUACUAUGUGCAUAUACUAAUUAUUGAAAUUGUUUUGUCUUGGUUGCUAUCUUUGAGUGUUCUGAUUCGUGUAUCUUUCAAUGUAUCGGAAAAAUGGAACAGUAAGGUUAUGUUUUGUGAUGGUAACGUCGUUUCCAAUAAUUGAUAAUAAUCACGUAAUCUGAAACAUAAUCAAUAUUUAAUAAGAUUGCUUUCAAUUUUAAUGUCGAGUUGAUUCUUUUUAGUGGUGCAUCGACUCAACUGAAGCCUUCAGGCAAGACAUUCAUUCGUACGCUUUCUUUGUAGUAUCCACCCUAUAACUAUGUUAACGGAAAAGCAUUUGUAAUGAUGUAUACAUAGGUAUUGGAUUAGAUAUAAAUGCACGCUCAUUUUUUACUAAUCCAUUAUUACGUGUUUGGAAGUUGCUAAUUGCAAAAUGGGCUAUGUGGACAGAAUAUUGGUCGUUUAUGUUUUUCACCUAUGGUUUGCCGAUUUCCCCGUUAUGUUUGUGCGUUUAAUACCUAAGUUGUUUGUGUAAAUUCUGGCCUUGAGCAGGAAAUGUGAAAUCCUCUGACGUUGCAUGUGAAGCCAAACAACUUUUGCUUGAUUUGAAAUAAAUAUCUAUCGUGACUAGUACCAAUA